GACGAACCGUGCGAACGUUAUUCGGAAUCACUGGGCUUAAAGCGCGUGUAGGCGGGACGGCACGUCGGUCGCUGAAAUCCCCCGGCUCAACCGGGGAACGGGCGCCGAUACGACCGCCCUGGAGGGCACGUAGGGGGACCUGGAACUUCCGGUGGAGCGGUGAAAUGCGUUGAGAUCGGAAGGAACGCCCGUGGCGAAAGCGAGGUCCUGGACGUUUUCGUGACGCUGAGACGCGAAAGCCAGGGGAGCGAACGGG
rnacentral:rRNA from 1 species